rnacentral:rRNA from 1 species
CACGUGGCAUGGUACUGACAUCAGGUGCGAAAGCGUGGGGAGCAAACAGGAUUAGAUACCCUGGUAGUCACGCCGUAAACGAUGUGGACUAGCCGUUGUGAUCUUGGAGAUCUUAGUGGCGCAGUUAACGCGUUAAUUCGACCGCUUGGGGAUUACGGCGCCAAGGUUAAAAUUCAAUGGAAUUGCCGGGGGCCCGCCCAAGCGGUGGGCCAUGGGGUUUAAUUGGUAGCAACGGGAGGACCGUUACUUGUCCUAAAAAAAAAGAGAUCUUUCCGGAGAAGAAGAGAACCCUUCGGGAAGUCAGACCCAGGUGUGGCAUGGCUUUCGUCAGUUCGUGUCGUGAGAUGUUGGGUUAAUUCCCGUAACGAGCGCAACCCUUGUCCUUAGUUACCAGCACCUCGGGUGGGCACUCUAAGGAGACUGCCGGUGACAAACCGGAGGAAGGUGGGGAUGACGUCAAGUCAUCAUGGCCUUACGGCCAGGGCUACACACGUGUACAAUGGCAUGUACAAAGGGAUACCAAGCCGCGAGGUCGAGCUAAUACCAUAAAACCGAUCGUAGUCCGGAUCGCAGUCUGCAACUCGACUGCGAGAAGUCGGAAUCGCUAGUAAUCG